rnacentral:rRNA from 1 species
CCUACGGGAGGCAGCAGUGAGGAAUAUUGGUCAAUGGACGAGAGUCUGAACCAGCCAAGUAGCGUGAAGGAUGACUGCCCUAUGGGUUGUAAACUUCUUUUAUAUGGGAAUAAAAUGUUCCACGUGUGGGAUUUUGUAUGUACCAUAUGGAUAAGGAUCGGCUAACUCCGUGCCAGCAGCCGCGGUAAUACGGAGGAUCCGAGCGUUAUCCGGAUUUAUUGGGGUUCAAGGGAGCGUAGGUGGAUUGUUAAGUCAGUUGUGAAAGUUUGCGGCUCAACCGUAAAAUUGCAGUUGAAACUGGCAGUCUUGAGUACAGUAGAGGUGGGCGGAAUUCGUGGUGUAGCGGUGAAAUGCUUAGAUAUCACGAAGAACUCCGAUUGCGAAGGCAGUUCACUGGACUGCAACUGACACUGAGGCUCGAAAGUGUGGGUAUCAAACAGGAUUAGAUACCCGGGUAGUC